UACGUAGGGUGCAAGCGUUGUCCGGAAUUAUUGGGCGUAAAGGGCUCGUAGGUGGCCAACUAAGUCAGACGUGAAAUCCCUCGGCUUAACCGGGGAACUGCGUCUGAUACUGGAUGGCUUGAGUUCGGGAGAGGGAUGCGGAAUUCCAGGUGUAGCGGUGAAAUGCGUAGAUAUCUGGAGGAACACCGGUGGCGAAGGCGGCAUCCUGGACCGACACGUGACGCUGAGGAGCGAAAGCCAGGGGAGCAA
rnacentral:rRNA from 1 species